GAUGAACGCUGGCGGCGUGCCUAAUACAUGCAAGUCGAGCGGACGGACGAGAAGCUUGCUUCUCUGAUGUUAGCGGAGGACGGGUGAGUAACACGUGGAUAACCUACCUAUCAGACUGGGAUAACUUCGGGAAACCGGAGCUAAUACCGGAUGAUAUUUUGAACCGCAUGGUUCAAAAGUGAAAGACGGUCUUGCUGUCACUUAUAGAUGGAUCCGCGCUGCAUUAGCUAGUUGGUAAGGUAAAGGCUUACCAAGGCAACUAUGCAUAGCCGACCUGAGAGGGUGAUCGCCCACACUGGAACUUGGACACGGUCCAGACUCCUGCGGGAGGCAGCAGUAGCGAAUCUUCCGCAAUGGUCGAAAGCCUUACGGAGCAACGCCGCGUGAGUGAUGAAGGUCUUCGGAUCGUAAAACUCUGUUAUUAGUGAAGAACAUAUUUGUAAGUAACUGUACACAUCUUGACGGUACCUAAUCAGAAAGCCACGGCUAACUACGUG
rnacentral:rRNA from 1 species